rnacentral:rRNA from 1 species
UACGUAAGAGACUAGUGUUAUUCAUCUUAAUUAGGUUUAAAGGGUACCUAGACGGUCAAUAUAGCUUCUAAAAAUGUUAGUACUUGACUAGAGUUUUUAUGUAAAGAGAGCAGUACUUGAGGAGGAGAGAUGAAAAUUCUAUGAUACCAAAGGGACUCGGUAAAGGCGAAGGCAGCCCUCUAUGUGAAAACUGACGUUAAAGGACGAAGGCACAGAGCACAAAACAGG